UACGUAGGGUGCGAGCGUUGUCCGGAAUUAUUGGGCGUAAAGGGCUCGUAGGCGGUUUGUCGCGUCGGGAGUGAAAACUCAGGGCUUAACCCUGAGCCUGCUUCCGAUACGGGCAGACUAGAGGUAUGCAGGGGAGAACGGAAUUCCUGGUGUAGCGGUGAAAUGCGCAGAUAUCAGGAGGAACACCGGUGGCGAAGGCGGCUACCUGGCCUAAGACUGACGCUGAGGUGCGAAAGCGUGGGGAGCGAACGGG
rnacentral:rRNA from 1 species